rnacentral:rRNA from 1 species
AGAAUCAACGCUGGCGGCGUGCCUAACACAUGCAAGUCGAACGCGAGAGUCCCGCAAGGGACAAUUGAGUGGCAAACGGGUGAGUAACACGUGGGUGACCUGCCUUCGAGUGGGGGAUAACGUCCCGAAAGGGACGCUAAUACCGCAUGACAUCCUACCUUUGGACAGGCGGAGAUCAAAGCCGGGGAUCGCAAGACCUGGCGCUUGGAGAGGGGCCCGCGUCUGAUUAGCUAGUUGGUGAGGUAACGGCUCACCAAGGCGACGAUCAGUA